GCGGGUAAACGGCGGGAGUAAC
rnacentral:ncRNA from 3 species